rnacentral:lncRNA from 1 species
CUUCAUCUUCAACCUUGGAACUUCUUGGACGUGGGGAGGGAAAAACCGACCGAGAACCAGCAGCUCGCCAGCCCGCACGCACGCCCCUCCGCCGCUCGUCGCCGCCGUUUGCACCGCCAAGCUGCUUGCCGUCCGCCCGCACCACCGGCCGCACCACCGUCGCCCUCUCUCCUCUCUUCUCCGGCCCCGAUUUCUGCUUGAAAACCCAGCAGAUCUGAGGAGGUGUUGAAGCUGGUUGUAGCCCAGCCGAAUCGCCGUCGGCCACCGUCGCCGAAGCUCGCCGCUACCACCGUCGUCCGCGCGAAGCCCGCGCCCGCGCCCCGCUCCGCCCGCUUCGCCUAGCUCGUCGUCCCGAGCUGCUGUUCAGCUCGCGCAAGAGCUGCCGGAGCUCGUUCGUCACCGCCGUGCACCGCCGUUCGUCGCCACCAGCCACCACCGUAGCUCCUCCGCCCACUCCCGACCCCAACCAGCCCCGGAUCUGCCCUCCUUCGCCCCCAACCAGCAGCAAACAGAGAAGAAGAAAAUGGGUGUGGCAGCCCCUUCAUGGGCCGUUUUGGCCGCCUUCCCGAGCCCGGAUGCUCGGUCCGCCUUGAGGAAAGUCGACCCUCGCGUCGUCCUCGUCGUUUUGGUUCGCUCGGCUCGCUAAUCCGGUGAGUUUAGCUCACUAAAUCUUGAUUAGACGGUUGAUUAUGCCGUAAGUGUGCUUAGUCUAAGUUAAGCAAGUUUAUGUGGAUAUUUGAAUUUAUUUAAAUUGUGAUUUGGGUUAAAAGGUUGGUUUAAUUUAAAGUGUGUUUAAUUAAAGUUUAAGAUAGUUUAUUUAAUAAUAAACCUUGAUGGGACAUAAUAGGGUUUUAAUUUUGAAUUAUUUAAUUGCUUCGAAAUUCUGGAAAUUUAUAAUAUUAUAUUAAUUCCGAAAUUAUUAAAAUAUUAUUAUUUAAAAAAAAGGGAAAAAUUAUUUUUGACCCCGGUUGCUCAGAAUUUCGUGCCGAUCGCUGCUGUGUAGUCGGAUUUUGAAAUUGAUGAUUGGAUUUUAUAAAUUGAGUGUGGAUCGUGAAAAAUAUAAAUAUAAAUAUUUAAUUAUUUUCGGAAUAAAUUUAAUUAUUUAAUAAAUUCCGAAAAUUUUGUCAGGACCCUAAACUCUCAAAAUUUCGUGCUGAUUGCUGCUGUGUAUUUAGAAUUUGAAUUUGAUGAUUGAUUGUGGCAAAUGGAGUGUGAUUGUGAUAAAUAGGGAUUCUUUAUAAAAUCCUAAGUGUAGAAAUUGAUGGGAGAUUGGCCAUGAUAAGCCACCUAUUAGAGGUCGCGCCCAGUGGGGCUGUGAUAUGCCACCUAUUAGAGGUCACGCCCAAUGGGGCCGUGAAUUGCCACCUGAUAAAGGUCGCGCCGAGUGGGGCCGUGAUACCACUUAUUCUAAUUUUGCCGAGUGGGGCCGUAAUUGAGAGCAAUGAUUGAUUUGCUAGAAUGACAUGUAAUCGGCCGAGUCGAUUGAUCGCUGAGACGAUCCAAGUGGUUGAAUUGUUUUGAUAAUGUGAUUGUGCCAUGGUUGUUUGGUUAUCAUAAUUGUACGUGGUUGAAUUAUAUAAAUUGUGCUAACCUGCAGAUGAAGGCUGAGGCGAGGUAAGUCUUCUGUGUGAUGUGGCUAAGCCACUCGGGGCGUAUUUUAUUUCUAAUAGGGGUUUAAGGGGUUGAACUUGCUGAGACAUCGUCUCAUCCCGGUUGUGGGAUUAAAAUUUUAGGUCCCCGGUGGACGGAGUGACCAGAUAGCUUUGGUUGGCCUUGAGGAGUUGCAGAUGUGAAGUCAUAAGAUUGGAGAACGUGUCCGACUUGUAGGUCGUAGGGCAGUUCAUUUUUAAGAGUCGGUCUUUUGUAGACUUUUGGCUGUAGGCCUUCGUCUAUAACUCUGUUGGUUUGUGUAAGUGAUUGGUUGUGAAAUUGUUUCCUGCUUUUCUAUCCCGUAUUUUAU